AUGGAUCUGAUGUCCAGAGACAGGAAUGGUCUGGGAAAGGAUGGUGCUACCAGGAUCAGCCUAUUGUUUGACUGUGACAUCACAGAGGGGUUGCUCAUGUUGAAGGGCUGCCUGUUCCCCUCCCCAGAGCCAGCACUGGUAUGAGUAAAGCUGAGCCUGAAGAUAGGGCUUUUGCAGUUCAAGCCACUCACUCCUCUGAUCUAAUUGGGCUGGGCCUAGGGUCUGGAUCUAUAUUCUGACUUCUAUUGCUAGCAGCCUUCAGGAGCUAAGAUUUAUGGCCCAAUCUUUGCCUGGAUUCACCCCUGCAUCUUGCAUGCUGCUUUCUUGCCUCUGACAGGACCAAACAUAAAUUCAUCCUACCCAGAGGAUGCCUCCAAUCCUUAGUUCUCCAGGGGUCAUUCCAGCUCUUUUUUUGUCCCAUGAUCUUCCUAUUUACAGUGGAUAGUUGGCCUCCAACACCAGAUUUGGAAUAGACUUAACCACUUCAGUAGACCGCCUCCAUCCAUAUCUCUACGGUUCAUUUCAAAGCCUGUUGAGAAAGGAAAAACUGGGAGGACCAGAGCCUCCUGUAAAUGUCUUGUGGGAUACCCAGAACCACUCUCAAAGCCACUUUCUAAGAAGCAAUUUCCUCCUGUCCCAUAAAAACUCCACAAAGCACCUCAGGCGAACACUGAGGACAUCGGGUAAGGGUUGAGGCAUCCUCCUGUCAUCACCUACCUAUGACCGAUGUGAACAACUCUGGGGCGGAGCUGCCUGCUGCCAUAAAUGUGGCUCCUGCCACAUCUUCACUGAGGUGGAGGCGCUGUAUGGGAACAAAGACAAGACAGUGGCCAUGCUGUGGGGACAUGGCCAAACCAGCCUGCUGGAGGAAAAGACGCAAGCAAUAGCACCCUUCACUCUACUUAUUCUUGCCAAGCCUGUCAGAGAUCAGGAGACAAAAAGAUAACUCUCCAGUAGCAACUGGCCAAGCCCAACCCAAGUUUAACAAAUAAACUAAACCCAAGGACAUUU